rnacentral:misc_RNA from 1 species
UCCGGUUUAUCACCGGCAGUCCCCCUAGAGUGCCCAACUGAAUGCUGGCAACUAAGGGCGAGGGUUGCGCUCGUUGCGGGACUUAACCCAACAUCUCACGACACGAUCUGACGACAGCCAUGCACCACCUGUGUAAGUCCCCGAAGGACACCGUAUCUCUACGGCUUUUCCCUACAUGUCAAGCCUUGGUAAGGUUCUUCGCGUUGCAUCGAAUUAAGCAACAUGCUCCGCCGCUUGUGCGGGCCCCUGUCAAUUCCUUUGAGUUUCAGUCUUGCGACCGUACUCCCCAGGCGGCGAACUUAACGCGUUAGCUUCGAUACUGCGUGCCAAAUUGCACCCAACAUCCAGUUCGCAUCGUUUAGGGCGUGGACUAC